rnacentral:rRNA from 1 species
CGGACGGGGUGGGUAACGCGUGAGAACAUGCCUUUAGAUUGGGGACAACAGUUGGAAACGACUGCUAAUACCGAAUGUGCCUUAGGGUGAAAGAUUUAUUGUCUAGAGAUUGGCUCGCGUCAGAUUAGCUAGUUGGAGUGGUAACGGCACACCAAGGCGACGAUCUGUACUUGGUCUGAGAGGAUGACCAGGCACACUGGAACUGAGACACGGUCCAGACUCCUACGGGAGGCAGCAGUGGGGAAUUUUCCGCAAUGGGCGAAAGCCUGACGGAGCAAUACCGCGUGAGGGAGGACGGCUUUUGGGUUGUAAACCUCUUUUAUCAGGGAAGAAUCGAUGACGGUACCUGAUGAAUCAGCAUCGGCUAACUCCGUGCCAGCAGCCGCGGUAAUACGGAGGAUGCAAGCGUUAUCCGGAAUUAUUGGGCGUAAAGCGUCCGUAGGUGGUUUAUCAAGUCUGCUGUCAAAGCGUGCGGCUUAACCGCAUAAGGGCAGUGGAAACUGAUGAACUAGAGUGCGAUAGGGGUAACAGGAAUUCCCAGUGUAGCGGUGAAAUGCGUAGAUAUUGGGAAGAACACCAGCGGCGAAAGCGUGUUACUGGGUCUGCACUGACACUGAGGGACGAAAGCUAGGGGAGCGAAAGGGAUUAGAUACCCCUGUAGUCCUAGC